ACGAACGCUGGCGGCGUGCUUAACACCUGCAAGUCGAACGGAAAGGCCCUGCUUUUGUGGGGUGCUCGAGUGGCGAACGGGUGAGUAACACGUGAGUAACCUGCCCUUGACUUUGGGAUAACUUCAGGAAACUGGGGCUAAUACCGGAUAGGAGCUCCUGCUGCAUGGUGGGGGUUGGAAAGUUUCGGCGGUUGGGGAUGGACUCGCGGCUUAUCAGCUUGUUGGUGGGGUAGUGGCUUACCAAGGCUUUGACGGGUAGUCGGCCUGAGAGGGUGACCGGCCACAUUGGGACUGAGAUACGGCCCAGACUCCUACGGGAGGCAGCAGUGGGGAAUAUUGCACAAUGGGCGGAAGCCUGAUGCAGCAACGCCGCGUGCGGGAUGACGGCCUUCGGGUUGUAAACCGCUUUCGCCUGUGACGAAGCGUGAGUGACGGUAAUGGGUAAAGAAGCACCGGCUAACUACGUG
rnacentral:rRNA from 1 species